UGGGCAAUGACACCGUGUCUUUGGCACCA
rnacentral:piRNA from 1 species